UCCGUAGGCGGUUUAGUAAGUCAGUGGUGAAAGCCCAUCGCUCAACGGUGGAACGGCCAUUGAUACUGCUAGACUUGAAUUAUUAGGAAGUAACUAGAAUAUGUAGUGUAGCGGUGAAAUGCUUAGAGAUUACAUGGAAUACCAAUUGCGAAGGCAGGUUACUACUAAUUGAUUGACGCUGAUGGACGAAAGCGUGGGUAGCGAACAGGAUUAGAUACCCUGGUAGUCCACGCCGUAAACGAUGGAUACUAGCUGUUGGGAGCAAUCUCAGUGGCUAAGCGAAAGUGAUAAGUAUCCCACCUGGGGAGUACGUUCGCAAGAAUGAA
rnacentral:rRNA from 1 species